AAGGUCUGAAUUAUCAUAGUUUUGAAAUUCGUCAACCAGCAAAAAGUCGAGAUGUUACACUUUCACAUUUAAAGAGAAGAAAAGUUUUAGAGAUAGAGAGAGAGUCUGAGAGUGAGAAAAUAAAGUUGUGAGCCACUUCCUUCUCCUUUAUUGCUGUAAGCUUGUCAUCGCGUCCAUCUUUUUUUCCCCAAAAAGUAGGCAUUAACCUUGUCUCCUUGUUUUCUUUUCCUUCGAUGCCGAUCUAUUUUACAUGAGCACUUUUUCUUCUUCUUUUUGAAAUCAAAUGCACACAGGUUCUACAUUUUUCGAGAGAUGUC
rnacentral:lncRNA from 1 species